AUUGAACGCUAGCGGGAUGCCUUACACAUGCAAGUCGAACGGAGUGGCGAACGGGUGAGUAAUGUAUCGGAACGUGCCCAGUAGCGGGGGAUAACUACGCCAAAGCGUAGCUAAUACCGCAUACUAUUGGAGCCGCCGAUAGCGGAUUAGCUAGGUGGUGGGGUAACGGCUCACCAAGGCGACGCUCCGUAGCUGGUUUGAGAGGAAGACCAGCCACACUGGAACGGAGACACGGUCCAGACUCCGACGGGAGGCAGCAGUGGGGAAUUGUGGACAAUGGGGGAAACCCUGAUCCAGCCAGCCCGCGUGUACGAUGAAGGCCUUCGGGUUGUAAAGCACUUUUGGCAGGAAAGCGGUACCUGCAGAAUAAGCACCGGCUAACUACGUGCCAGCAGCCGCGGUAAUUC
rnacentral:rRNA from 1 species